GUCUACAGCCGUACCACCCUGAACGCAUCCGAUUUCAUCUGAUCUCGGAAGUUAAGCAGGGUGGGGCCUGAUUAGUACUUGAUGGGAGAGUCUUCUGGGUUCACGGUGUCACUUUAUAUC
rnacentral:rRNA from 1 species